AGGAGGAGGAGGAGGAGGAGGAGGAGGUGGAGGAGGGGGAAAAAAUUUGGACACAGGUGCACACAGGGAGGAGAAGGCCACGUGGAGACAGACACAGAGGGAAUGAGACCACGUGAGACGAAUCACGGUGAUGCUGCUUACAGCCAAGGAUCUCUGGGGCUGCCGGACGCAGGAGAAGCGGAGGAAGGACCCUCCGUUCAGGGCUUUGAAGGGAGCACGGCCAGCUCACACCCUGAGUUUAGACUUCCAGCCUCCAGAACGGGACGUGCACUCACAGUGGCCUGACUGUCCGUGUGUCUAACCUGGCAUGAUACACACUUGGAGUUAUCUCAUUCCUGCUCUGUGCGCUCAUUGCAUGAGAGCCUCACGUGCAGGAUCAUAUCUCCUCCUUGUUCUCCAGAGUACAAUGGUUUCUUUCAAUAAAUAUGCACAGAGCUCCAAUUUUGUUCCAAUUGCUGUGGCAAGCUCUGUAGAUGAAGUGGAAAGAAGUAAAGAAGUACAGACACGA